rnacentral:lncRNA from 10 species
CUUUACUGCUAACACUUUACAGACGAGGAAACCGAGGCUUAUAAUGGGAAGUAGCUUGAUGAGAGGUUUUGGGGCCCUCAUGCAGAAUUCUUUGUGCCUUAUUCUCCAGCAAUGGAACUUCGGCAUCUAGAGAUUUCAAGGUUACAUUUGGGAGGCAAGUCCCUAGGACUUGAGACAAGCUGCAGCAUUCACCUGCAAGUGUGGCUUGCAAAUCAGCAGACUUUGGAGCCAUUGGAAAAGGCUACUUCCAGCUACAAAGUGAAAAGAUAUAAGCAGCGUGUGCUGUAGACUGAGGUAGUAUCUUCGAGUUCUGUCAUUGGCACCUAUCAGUGGCUGAGAUAUCCUGGGUUGAAGUCUGCAAGGUCCAGCAUAAUGUAUUAUGCAUGAAAAGACAUCUCCUGUUACUUCAUUUUUGUAAAAGAUUACCUCAAUACUCC